AAAUUCAAACUCAUGGCCACUUCUUCUUGGAAGAGCAGCGAAAACGAAAAAUUUCUCAUCCUUUCUGAAACAUCGAUCCAUGACCUCUUUCCUUCAAUGGCCGAAAAAACAUCCUUUCCACUUUUCUUCUUCCUCCAAUAAGAUCCUCCUACCAACCAUGAUUCUCAACUCUCCCACUUUGUUCUUAAACUCAGCCGAGAUGAACAAGAUCUCGCCAGAUGAAAAUCUGACACGACUGGAAAACAAUGGAGAUACAUCAACAACUUCCUUAUCGCUACAAAACCGAAUCUUAGUCCCUAAAUCUUUUGACAUUAACCAAGAUAAAAAUAAAGCGAAAGAAAACACGAAUCUGAAAGGACAAACUCGUCGUUCAGGCCCUUCAUGAUGGAAAUGACUCUUGUAUUGAUGACCUAGAUGCUACUUGAAGCAAUCAUGGAAGACAAGAGGAGUCUUGAGGAUCUUAAUAAUUAGGCCUUGAAAGAAUUAGGGAUUAUUAAUCUCUUUUUUUUGUUAUAAGAUCAAAUGACAUUAAUAUUAUUCAUGCUAUUUGUAAACCAAACUUAUGACAUAUGCCCCUUUUUCGAAAUUUUAAUGUGAAAUGCAAAGGUGAGAAAUGUGAAAUGAAUAUUUGCUA